ensembl:lncRNA novel transcript
GCCUGGAGGUCUCUCACCCCCAGGUCCUGCUCAAAGCUGUGCACUUGGGCCCCCAGGCAUGCGGCUUGCUCCGGAAGGUCCCUUACCUGUGGCACUGAGCAUGUACUUCCUGCAGUGCAGUUAGAAAUGCCCAUCCGACUCUGCUUGCAAAGGCACAGCUGCUUAAAGACUGUUACCGGAAAGGAAUCCUGAUCCAGACGCCAAGAGAGGGUUCUUGGACUCAUGCAAGAAAGACUUCAGAAUACGAGUUUUGAAUUUUUGAAUUGCUGUUAAAACUUUCAUCAUGAACACUGAAGUGAGUGAAAAGAGACUUUUGCAGUCAUUUUUUUGUUCUCAGGUCCCUGGACCAUGAAGGGCCACAUCCAAGGAGCUACCCCAGGAGGCCUCUCAUUUGCAUUUGUCCCCGCUAAUGCAGGACAGAGAUCAUGGAAGUUGGGCCCGACUGGAUGAGAUUUGGGGGUCUUUGGAAGUGGAGAAUGUGUUUGCCCUGGGGAAGAGAGGUGAUGUCUAGGAGACCUCUUCACUCAGGGCAAGCUCUAUGACCUGCUUUGACUCCAGAAUGUGGUAGAAGUGGCAUCACAUAAAUUGCAGAGCCUAGGCUUCAAGAGACCUUGCAACUUGCCUCUCACUGACUUGAAGUGCUCCCAUCAGAGCAUCUUGUAAGGAGCAGGUGGAGCAUGUGGACAAGCCAUCCCCACCAGCCCCUGAGACAUGUGAGAGAGGCCAGAACAGGCCAUCCGGACCCCACUGUGCUGGUGGAUGAGACAGCAGAAGGAAUAUCAACCUACCAACAGAAUCCUGAGAAAUGCUCACUCUUACUUCAAGCUGCUGCAUUUUGAUGUUAUGAAACCAUAAAUAACUUAUGAAGUCAUCUUUGCUGACUUAAAGUUUUCCAUAACUUUAUUAUAACAUAUCAAAAUUAUGAAAAAUGUGAAAAGUAGAAAACUGAUGAAUUUUGCUUCUUCAUAUGGUCUUUAAGAAUCUCAAAGGCACUGAAGUUUUUUAUCUUUUCUGUCUUAGAAUAAAAAACCUUGAAUGAAAAUCUGCUUCUUGGAAAAGCAGCAAGGUUUAUGCAGAGGCAAUCUGGUAUUUGUGUGCACUGGCAGCUGAUCAUACCCAGCAUGCACGCACUCUCAGGGCAGAGUCUGAUGCCCCACAUAAUGGGGCAUGGUAAGGACUCCCAUGUCCUUGAGAUAAAAUGAUAAGGAAAAUACACACUGCUAUUAGAAUAACAGGCCCAGCUUCUGCACAUUUUAAUUCCCAAAGUUUUCAUGAAAGACAAUGAUUUUUUGGUACCAUGUUUAACUCUACAAGAAUCAGUAGUGAAAACUAAAAAUGAUACUUUGUGAAAGUUCAUUAAUUUUGUUUUCAGCCAGUGGUGGCCUUGGUCAGAUAGAAUCAAAUCUAUGAUACUUUUUAUCAGAAAUGCUUAUACUGUGUACAAACCCAAAGUGAUGGCUUUCAAAGAUUGAAUUUGAUUAUUUUCUGUAUGGUGCAGAUGAAAAAUUACUACACAGGAGAAGGUGGGUUGGAGGUGCUCACGAGUAACCAGGAAACAGUCUGAAGUUUUUCUGAUACUUCUCCUUGGUCCAACCAAAUGUGAGAUAUAAACACAAACUUGGGAUUCCGU